GAGAUAUUAGUAAAAUAUGAAUUACACCACCUUGUCAAGGUGGAAUUGUGGGUUAAACCCCCACAUGUCUUA
rnacentral:tRNA from 1 species